rnacentral:lncRNA from 1 species
GAGUGGUUGGAAAACUAUAACACUAUAUUGCACAAAUUAUUCGGCAAAUUGAAUUCUCAUAAUUGUCUUUCAGCACUGCUGUCAUUAGGGAAUUGUGAUUAAGUACCUACAGAACAAAUAUUAUUUCUAGUUUAUCCUGCACAAUGACGAUCACUAAGAUGCUUGAUGAACGUUAAUAGUGCAGGGAUGCAGGCGAUCCCCUCUAUCUGGUAAAUGACGUCACAAAGGCGCGCAUAAUUGACGAGUUUUUUCCAGUGACGGAUGAACUCGAAAGUGGUCUAUUGCUCUG